AUUGAACGCUGGCGGAAUGCUUUACACAUGCAAGUCGAACGGCAGCACGGACUUCGGUCUGGUGGCGAGUGGCGAACGGGUGAGUAAUGUAUCGGAACGUGCCCAGUCGUGGGGGAUAACGUCGUGAAAAUUACGCUAAUACCGCAUACGAUCUAUGGAUGAAAGCGGGGGAUCGCAAGACCUCGCGCGAUUGGAGCGGCCGAUAUCAGAUUAGGUAGUUGGUGGGGUAAAGGGCCACCAAGCCAAAGAUCUGUAGCUGGUCUGAGAGGACGACCAGCCACACUGGAACUGAGACACGGUCCAGACUCCUACGGGAGGCAGCAGUGGGGAAUUUUGGACAAUGGGCGAAAGCCUGAUCCAGCCAUUCCGCGUGCAGGAUGAAGGCCCUCGGGUUGUAAACUGCUUUUGUACAGAACGAAAAGGUUUCUACUAAUACUAGGAGCUCAUGACGGUACUGUAAGAAUAAGCACCGGCUAACUACGUGCCAGCCGCCGCCGUAA
rnacentral:rRNA from 1 species